rnacentral:rRNA from 1 species
GACGAACGCUGGCGGCGUGCUUAACACAUGCAAGUCGAACGGAAAGGCCCUGCUUGCAGGGUACUCGAGUGGCGAACGGGUGAGUAACACGUGAGUGAUCUGCCCUGCACUUUGGGAUAAGCCUUGGAAACUGGGUCUAAUACCGGAUAGGAGCUACUUUUUGUGUGUUGGUUGGAAAGUUUUUUGGGUGUAGGAUGAGCUCGCGGCCUAUCAGCUUGUUGGUGGGGUAAUGGCCUACCAAGCCGGCGAGGGGUAGCCGGCCUGAGAGGGUGGACGGCCGCACUGGGACUGAGAGGCGGCACAGGUGCCGACGAGUGGAAGAAGGGGGGAAGAUUGAACAAUGGGUGCAAGCCUGAUGCAGCGAGGCCGCGUGGGGGAUGACGGUCUUCGGGUUGAAAACAACUUUCGCGAGGGACGAAGCUUGUUGUGACGGUACCUAGAUAAGAAGCACCGGCUAACUACGUG